AAAUAACAAUACAGGGCAAAUGUCUUGUAAUUGGAAUGAUGGCGACGUAAAAGCUCGCCAGAGUACCAAUUGGAGGGCAAGUCUGGUGCCAGCAGCCGCGGUAAUUCCAGCUCCAAUAGCGUAUAUUAAACUUGUUGCAGUUAAAAAGCUCGUAGUUGAACUUCAGCCUUUGUUGGUUUCACGUUUUAGUGUAUUCCUGCGUUGGCUUAUCUUUUUACUUUGAGAAAAUUAGAGUGUUUCAAGCAGACUUUUGUCUUGAAUACUUCAGCAUGGAAUAAUAGAGUAGGACCUUGGUUCUAUUUUGUUGGUUUCUGAGCCUGGGUAAUGGUUAAUAGGAACGGUUGGGGGCAUUCGUAUUUA
rnacentral:rRNA from 1 species